UCUUUUAAAGGAUAUACAGUAAUCCAACGACCUUAGGAGCCGCUAUUCUUGGUGCAACUCCAAGUAAAAGUA
rnacentral:tRNA from 1 species